rnacentral:tRNA from 1 species
UAUUUUAUUAGUAUAAAUAGUACAUCUAAUUUCCAAUUAGAAAGUUUUUUUUAAAAAUAAAAUAA